AGAUCGAACUGUAGAGUUUGAUCCUGGCUCAGAUUGAACGCUGGCGGCAUGCCUUACACAUGCAAGUCGAACGGUAACAGGUCUUCGGACGCUGACGAGUGGCGAACGGGUGAGUAAUACAUCGGAACGUGCCCAGUCGUGGG
rnacentral:rRNA from 1 species